GCAAACUUGGUCAUUUAGAGGAAGUAAAAGUCGUAACAAGGUCUCCGUUGGUGAACCAGCGGAGGGAUCAUUACCGAGUUAUUCAACUCAUCAACCCUGUGAACAUACCUAAACGUUGCUUCGGCGGGAAUAGACGGCCCCGUGAAACGGGCCGCCCCCGCCAGAGGACCCUUAACUCUGUUUCUAUAAUGUUUCUUCUGAGUAAAACAAGCAAAUAAAUUAAAACUUUCAACAACGGAUCUCUUGGCUCUGGCAUCGAUGAAGAACGCAGC
rnacentral:misc_RNA from 1 species